rnacentral:lncRNA from 1 species
AUCCAUUACAUGAGUUGCAAAAUUCUUUGUGCACUAUGUGCAGUGCAAAAAAUCGCACACUGCGCGCGGUGAUUCGCUCUCGCACGGGAUCGGCAAAAUUUUUUUUUCCCACCUACGUCCCCGAGCCCACAUGUGAGUGAAUCACAAUGUGCGAUUUUCUGCACCACGUACGGUGCAUAAAGAAUUACUCUAUAUGAGU